AGAUCUUCUGCUCUCUUACUAUAUUAAUCUGCGUGCUGUGUUUACGUGGUACUAAUGCUGCAGUUGUAUCAAGGAAACUUGGUUUACAUAUACAUGAAAUACAGCCUGAGAUGAUGGACAUGAGACACUGGGUGAUACAUGGGAAUUAAUAAGAAACAUCAAGCUGAUUGUUUUAAGGACCGGACAUGAAGAGGGCAAAAAAACCCCAAAAA